UACGUAGGGAGCAAGCGUUAUCCGGAUUUAUUGGGUGUAAAGGGUGCGUAGACGGAUAAUCAAGUUGGUUGUGAAAUCCCUCGGCUUAACUGAGGAAUUGCAACCAAAACUGGUAAUCUUGAGUACUGGAGGGGAAAGCGGAAUUCCUAGUGUAGCGGUGAAAUGCGUAGAUAUUAGGAAGAACACCGGUGGCGAAGGCGGCUUUCUGGACAGAAACUGACGUUGAGGCACGAAAGUGUGGGGAGCAAACAGG
rnacentral:rRNA from 1 species